ACAAGACUUAAACUUUACAAAGUUGGUUACAUUUUAUUGAAAAUCAACCAAAGAAAGUAAAAUGCAGACUCUGUCAUUCCAUGGCAGCACAGCAGCAGUAAAAACAUGAUCACCUGAAAUACUGGAGCCGUCCUCUCAAGGUGGAUUUUUGGUUUUGACCUCAUGGCCCCCAGUCUGAUGUCCUUCCAGAAAUGUCAAUGGGAAUUCCAGAUACUGAUCAGACCUCUGCAGAACUACAAUGAGGAGGCAGAUUAAGGCUCAAUGUCCACUGAGGAUCAAAGGUCAGCGUUCCAUCCAAUGUCAUCAGAGAUUGUGGUGGUGCUUUGAAGAGGGUCAGCAAGCUACAAGCUGAUCCAGGAGAGUUAUUCUCUUAAAGUACAAAAGUUAUUUAUCAACUUGUUGAAUUUCUCUUUUACUGUU